rnacentral:rRNA from 1 species
UACGGGGGGGGUAAGCGUUGUUCGGAAUUACUGGGCGUAAAGGGCUCGUAGGCGGCCAACUAAGUCGGACGUGAAAUCCCUCAGCUUAACUGGGGAACUGCGUCCGAUACUGGAUGGCUUGGAUUUGGGAGAGGGAUGCGGAAUUCCAGGUGUAGCGGUGAAAUGCGUAGAUAUCUGGAGGAACACCUGCGGCGAAGGCGGGUUGCUGGGCCGACACUGACGCUGAGGCGCGAAAGCCAGGGGAGCGAACGGG